AUUGAACGCUGGCGGCAGGCUUAACACAUGCAAGUCGAGCGAGCGGCGGACGGGUGAGUAAUGUCUGGGAAACUGCCUGAUGGAGGGGGAUAACUACUGGAAACGGUAGCUAAUACCGCAUACCAUCAGAUGUGCCCAGAUGGGAUUAGCUAGGAGGUGGGGUAAUGGCUCACCUAGGCGACGAUCCCUAGCUGGUCUGAGAGGAUGACCAGCCACACUGGAACUGAGACACGGUCCAGACUCCUACGGGAGGCAGCAGUGGGGAAUAUUGGACAAUGGGCGAAAGCCUGAUGGAGCCAGGCCGCGUGUGUGAAGAAGGCUUUCGGGUUGUAAAGCUCUGUCAGCAAGGAGGCGGUACUCGAAGAGGAAGCACCGGCUAACUCCGUGCCAGCCGCCGCGGUAAUAC
rnacentral:rRNA from 1 species